rnacentral:rRNA from 1 species
GGGUUGUGAGGUUAAGCGACUAAGCGUACACGGUGGAUGCCCUGGCAGUCAGAGGCGAUGAAGGACGUGCUAAUCUGCGAUAAGCGUCGGUAAGGUGAUAUGAACCGUUAUAACCGGCGAUUUCCGAAUGGGGAAACCCAGUGUGUUUCGACACACUAUCAUUAACUGAAUCCAUAGGUUAAUGAGGCGAACCGGGGGAACUGAAACAUCUAAGUACCCCGAGGAAAAGAAAUCAACCGAGAUUCCCCCAGUAGCGGCGAGCGAACGGGGAGCAGCCCAGAGCCUGAAUCAGUGUGUGUGUUAGUGGAAGCGUCUGGAAAGGCGCGCGAUACAGGGUGACAGCCCCGUACACAAAAAUGCACAUGCUGUGAGCUCGAUGAGUAGGGCGGGACACGUGGUAUCCUGUCUGAAUAUGGGGGGACCAUCCUCCAAGGCUAAAUACUCCUGACUGACCGAUAGUGAACCAGUACCGUGAGGGAAAGGCGAAAAGAACCCCGGCGAGGGGAGUGAAAAAGAACCUGAAACCGUGUACGUACAAGCAGUGGGAGCACGCUUAGGCGUGUGACUGCGUACCUUUUGUAUAAUGGGUCAGCGACUUAUAUUCUGUAGCAAGGUUAACCGAAUAGGGGAGCCGAAGGGAAACCGAGUCUUAACUGGGCGUUAAGUUGCAGGGUAUAGACCCGAAACCCGGUGAUCUAGCCAUGGGCAGGUUGAAGGUUGGGUAACACUAACUGGAGGACCGAACCGACUAAUGUUGAAAAAUUAGCGGAUGACUUGUGGCUGGGGGUGAAAGGCCAAUCAAACCGGGAGAUAGCUGGUUCUCCCCGAAAGCUAUUUAGGUAGCGCCUCGUGAAUUCAUCUCCGGGGGUAGAGCACUGUUUCGGCAAGGGGGUCAUCCCGACUUACCAACCCGAUGCAAACUGCGAAUACCGGAGAAUGUUAUCACGGGAGACACACGGCGGGUGCUAACGUCCGUCGUGAAGAGGGAAACAACCCAGACCGCCAGCUAAGGUCCCAAAGUCAUGGUUAAGUGGGAAACGAUGUGGGAAGGCCCAGACAGCCAGGAUGUUGGCUUAGAAGCAGCCAUCAUUUAAAGAAAGCGUAAUAGCUCACUGGUCGAGUCGGCCUGCGCGGAAGAUGUAACGGGGCUAAACCAUGCACCGAAGCUGCGGCAGCGACGCUUAUGCGUUGUUGGGUAGGGGAGCGUUCUGUAAGCCUGCGAAGGUGUGCUGUGAGGCAUGCUGGAGGUAUCAGAAGUGCGAAUGCUGACAUAAGUAACGAUAAAGCGGGUGAAAAGCCCGCUCGCCGGAAGACCAAGGGUUCCUGUCCAACGUUAAUCGGGGCAGGGUGAGUCGACCCCUAAGGCGAGGCCGAAAGGCGUAGUCGAUGGGAAACAGGUUAAUAUUCCUGUACUUGGUGUUACUGCGAAGGGGGGACGGAGAAGGCUAUGUUGGCCGGGCGACGGUUGUCCCGGUUUAAGCGUGUAGGCUGGUUUUCCAGGCAAAUCCGGAAAAUCAAGGCUGAGGCGUGAUGACGAGGCACUACGGUGCUGAAGCAACAAAUGCCCUGCUUCCAGGAAAAGCCUCUAAGCAUCAGGUAACAUCAAAUCGUACCCCAAACCGACACAGGUGGUCAGGUAGAGAAUACCAAGGCGCUUGAGAGAACUCGGGUGAAGGAACUAGGCAAAAUGGUGCCGUAACUUCGGGAGAAGGCACGCUGAUAUGUAGGUGAAGUCCCUCGCGGAUGGAGCUGAAAUCAGUCGAAGAUACCAGCUGGCUGCAACUGUUUAUUAAAAACACAGCACUGUGCAAACACGAAAGUGGACGUAUACGGUGUGACGCCUGCCCGGUGCCGGAAGGUUAAUUGAUGGGGUUAGCCGCAAGGCGAAGCUCUUGAUCGAAGCCCCGGUAAACGGCGGCCGUAACUAUAACGGUCCUAAGGUAGCGAAAUUCCUUGUCGGGUAAGUUCCGACCUGCACGAAUGGCGUAAUGAUGGCCAGGCUGUCUCCACCCGAGACUCAGUGAAAUUGAACUCGCUGUGAAGAUGCAGUGUACCCGCGGCAAGACGGAAAGACCCCGUGAACCUUUACUAUAGCUUGACACUGAACAUUGAGCCUUGAUGUGUAGGAUAGGUGGGAGGCUUUGAAGUGUGGACGCCAGUCUGCAUGGAGCCGACCUUGAAAUACCACCCUUUAAUGUUUGAUGUUCUAACGUUGACCCGUAAUCCGGGUUGCGGACAGUGUCUGGUGGGUAGUUUGACUGGGGCGGUCUCCUCCUAAAGAGUAACGGAGGAGCACGAAGGUUGGCUAAUCCUGGUCGGACAUCAGGAGGUUAGUGCAAUGGCAUAAGCCAGCUUGACUGCGAGCGUGACGGCGCGAGCAGGUGCGAAAGCAGGUCAUAGUGAUCCGGUGGUUCUGAAUGGAAGGGCCAUCGCUCAACGGAUAAAAGGUACUCCGGGGAUAACAGGCUGAUACCGCCCAAGAGUUCAUAUCGACGGCGGUGUUUGGCACCUCGAUGUCGGCUCAUCACAUCCUGGGGCUGAAGUAGGUCCCAAGGGUAUGGCUGUUCGCCAUUUAAAGUGGUACGCGAGCUGGGUUUAGAACGUCGUGAGACAGUUCGGUCCCUAUCUGCCGUGGGCGCUGGAGAACUGAGGGGGGCUGCUCCUAGUACGAGAGGACCGGAGUGGACGCAUCACUGGUGUUCGGGUUGUCAUGCCAAUGGCACUGCCCGGUAGCUAAAUGCGGAAGAGAUAAGUGCUGAAAGCAUCUAAGCACGAAACUUGCCCCGAGAUGAGUUCUCCCUGACCCUUUAAGGGUCCUGAAGGAACGUUGAAGACGACGACGUUGAUAGGCCGGGUGUGUAAGCGCAGCGAUGCGUUGAGCUAACCGGUACUAAUGAACCGUGAGGCUUAACCUUACAACGCCGAAGCUGUU